rnacentral:tRNA from 1 species
GCGCUCGUGGUGUAGAGGCCUAACAUGCCUCCCUGUCACGGAGGAGAUCGCCGGUUCGAAUCCGGUCGAGCGCGCCA